UCAAUCUCCGGCAGCGUCGCCGACGGCUACUCCUGUUACGGCUCAUAGUCCGGCCACUCCUGCUGUGGCCACUCCACCUGCUUCUUCACCUGCGGCUGCUGCCCCCACCAAAUCUAAAACGCCGGCUCCGGUCACGGCUCCCACUUCGUCACCACCUACGGCAGUUUCCUCUCCGCCAGCUAGCUCUCCCGUGUCAUCUCCUCCUACUCCGGCUGUGCCAACGCCUGCCUCGUCACCGGUGGCUGUGACUCCGGUCAGCUCGCCACCUGCUCCGGUUCCGGUCAGCUCUCCACCUUUGCUCCCGCCUGCGAAAUCUCCUCCUGUUCCGGCGCCGGCAAACCCCCCCGCGGCUUCUCCUCCGGCUCCGGUUUCUUCGCCUCCUGCAGAGACUCCGGCUGCAGAGGUUCCGUCACCUGCUCCGAGCAAGAAGAAGACUAAGAAGCUCAAAUCGCCGGCCCCUGCUCCGGCGCCGGAGGCGCUGAGUCCUCCUGCACCGCCGACCGAAGCUCCCGGACCGAGUUAUGAUGCGACCUCACCCUCUCCGUCUCUGCCAGAUGAGGUACGUUAUGCUAGUUUUUCUAUCCAUGGCUGAAGUCUAACAUGCGCUGGAGUACAAUGUGCAUCCAGAUCUGGAACUUUGCUAAAACAAAUCCACAGCACUGCUCACUUCUUCAUUGACACGAUUUACCGCUUCAGUUACAUCCUCUCUGUCCUUUUCUUCCUUUUUUUCCAAAGGUCAAUUUAAAUAAGUUCAUUAGACUACAUAUUAGAUUUUCUAAAAACCAAACCGCGCGGCGUAUGAACUGAAGAUUGAUUGGCGGAGCAGGUUUUAUUGCUUCACCUAAUAUCUUCAAAGCAUGGUAGGCAAAGUCCUUCCUGAAUCUUAAAUUUACAGCUCUAUGUUGUACGAGCCAAUAGUCAGAGCUAUGUGA
rnacentral:lncRNA from 1 species